UGUGAGCUCGAUGAGUAGGGCGGGACACGUGGUAUCCUGUCUGAAUAUGGGGGGACCAUCCUCCAAGGCUAAAUACUCCUGACUGACCGAUAGUGAACCAGUACCGUGAGGGAAAGGCGAAAAGAACCCCGGCGAGGGGAGUGAAAAAGAACCUGAAACCGUGUACGUACAAGCAGUGGGAGCACGCUUAGGCGUGUGACUGCGUACCUUUUGUAUAAUGGGUCAGCGACUUAUAUUCUGUAGCAAGGUUAACCGAAUAGGGGAGCCGAAGGGAAACCGAGUCUUAACUGGGCGUUAAGUUGCAGGGUAUAGACCCGAAACCCGGUGAUCUAGCCAUGGGCAGGUUGAAGGUUGGGUAACACUAACUGGAGGACCGAACCGACUAAUGUUGAAAAAUUAGCGGAUGACUUGUGGCUGGGGGUGAAAGGCCAAUCAAACCGGGAGAUAGCUGGUUCUCCCCGAAAGCUAUUUAGGUAGCGCCUCGUGAAUUCAUCUCCGGGGGUAGAGCACUGUUUCGGCAAGGGGGUCAUCCCGACUUACCAACCCGAUGCAAACUGCGAAUACCGGAGAAUGUUAUCACGGGAGACACACGGCGGGUGCUAACGUCCGUCGUGAAGAGGGAAACAACCCAGACCGCCAGCUAAGGUCCCAAAGUCAUGGUUAAGUGGGAAACGAUGUGGGAAGGCCCAGACAGCCAGGAUGUUGGCUUAGAAGCAGCCAUCAUUUAAAGAAAGCGUAAUAGCUCACUGGUCGAGUCGGCCUGCGCGGAAGAUGUAACGGGGCUAAACCAUGCACCGAAGCUGCGGCAGCGACACUAUGUGUUGUUGGGUAGGGGAGCGUUCUGUAAGCCUGUGAAGGUGUGCUGUGAGGCAUGCUGGAGGUAUCAGAAGUGCGAAUGCUGACAUAAGUAACGAUAAAGCGGGUGAAAAGCCCGCUCGCCGGAAGACCAAGGGUUCCUGUCCAACGUUAAUCGGGGCAGGGUGAGUCGACCCCUAAGGCGAGGCCGAAAGGCGUAGUCGAUGGGAAACAGGUUAAUAUUCCUGUACUUGGUGUUACUGCGAAGGGGGGACGGAGAAGGCUAUGUUGGCCGGGCGACGGUUGUCCCGGUUUAAGCGUGUAGGCUGGUUUUCCAGGCAAAUCCGGAAAAUCAAGGCUGAGGCGUGAUGACGAGGCACUACGGUGCUGAAGCAACAAAUGCCCUGCUUCCAGGAAAAGCCUCUAAGCAUCAGGUAACAUCAAAUCGUACCCCAAACCGACACAGGUGGUCAGGUAGAGAAUACCAAGGCGCUUGAGAGAACUCGGGUGAAGGAACUAGGCAAAAUGGUGCCGUAACUUCGGGAGAAGGCACGCUGAUAUGUAGGUGAAGUCCCUCGCGGAUGGAGCUGAAAUCAGUCGAAGAUACCAGCUGGCUGCAACUGUUUAUUAAAAACACAGCACUGUGCAAACACGAAAGUGGACGUAUACGGUGUGACGCCUGCCCGGUGCCGGAAGGUUAAUUGAUGGGGUUAGCCGCAAGGCGAAGCUCUUGAUCGAAGCCCCGGUAAACGGCGGCCGUAACUAUAACGGUCCUAAGGUAGCGAAAUUCCUUGUCGGGUAAGUUCCGACCUGCACGAAUGGCGUAAUGAUGGCCAGGCUGUCUCCACCCGAGACUCAGUGAAAUUGAACUCGCUGUGAAGAUGCAGUGUACCCGCGGCAAGACGGAAAGACCCCGUGAACCUUUACUAUAGCUUGACACUGAACAUUGAGCCUUGAUGUGUAGGAUAGGUGGGAGGCUUAGAAGUGUGGACGCCAGUCUGCAUGGAGCCGACCUUGAAAUACCACCCUUUAAUGUUUGAUGUUCUAACGUUGACCCGUAAUCCGGGUUGCGGACAGUGUCUGGUGGGUAGUUUGACUGGGGCGGUCUCCUCCUAAAGAGUAACGGAGGAGCACGAAGGUUGGCUAAUCCUGGUCGGACAUCAGGAGGUUAGUGCAAUGGCAUAAGCCAGCUUGACUGCGAGCGUGACGGCGCGAGCAGGUGCGAAAGCAGGUCAUAGUGAUCCGGUGGUUCUGAAUGGAAGGGCCAUCGCUCAACGGAUAAAAGGUACUCCGGGGAUAACAGGCUGAUACCGCCCAAGAGUUCAUAUCGACGGCGGUGUUUGGCACCUCGAUGUCGGCUCAUCACAUCCUGGGGCUGAAGUAGGUCCCAAGGGUAUGGCUGUUCGCCAUUUAAAGUGGUACGCGAGCUGGGUUUAGAACGUCGUGAGACAGUUCGGUCCCUAUCUGCCGUGGGCGCUGGAGAACUGAGGGGGGCUGCUCCUAGUACGAGAGGACCGGAGUGGACGCAUCACUGGUGUUCGGGUUGUCAUGCCAAUGGCACUGCCCGGUAGCUAAAUGCGGAAGAGAUAAGUGCUGAAAGCAUCUAAGCACGAAACUUGCCCCGAGAUGAGUUCUCCCUGACUCCUUGAGAGUCCUGAAGGAACGUUGAAGACGACGACGUUGAUAGGCCGGGUGUGUAAGCGCAGCGAUGCGUUGAGCUAACCGGUACUAAUGAACCGUGAGGCUUAACCUU
rnacentral:rRNA from 1 species